rnacentral:rRNA from 1 species
AACUCGCCUGCAUGAAGCUGGAAUUGCUAGUAAUCGCGGAUCAGCAAGCCGCGGUGAAUACGUUCCCGGGCCUUGUACACACCGCCCGUCACACCAUGAGAGUCGGGAACACCCGAAGUCCGUAGUCUAACCGCAAGGGGGCGCGGCCGAAGGUGGAUCCGGUAAUUGGGGUGAAGUCGUAACAAGGUAAC